CCCCAGGGCUACCACUGCUGCUGUUGUUGCUGCCGCCAUGACCACUUUACGUUGAGGAAGAGGAGGAGAAGGAGCAGGAGGAAGAAGAGCAGGAAGAGGAGGAGCAGGAGGAGGAGGAAGAGGAGGUAGAGCAGGAGGAAGAGGAGGGGGAGGAGAAGGAAGAGGCAGAACACCUUUCAGUGGAAGACAGCUCUCCAAGGCAGAUCUUUUUUGAAUGAAUAAUCUAUUUCCUCCACUUUUUCUUCAAGAACCAAUACUUUGUCUCUUCCACUUGUUCCAAGUCUCAUAUAAAGGUCUGGGGUGUAGGAAUAAAGCCCGGUGCUGGGACUAAGAAGGAGUGAGUGCUUACAGCGGCU